AGUCACUGACAUUAGAUACCCCUCGUAGUCCCAGCCGUAAACAAAUGUGCGUUAGGUGUGUCGGUAACCACGCGUUACUGAUGCGCCGAAGAGAAAUCGUGAAACGCACCACCUGGGAAGUACGGUCGCAAGGCUGAAACUUAAAGGAAUUGGCGGGGGAGCACCACAACAGGUGGAGCCUGCGGUUUAAUUUGGAUUCAACGCCGGACAUCUCACCGGAUAAGACAGCUGAAUGAUUGUCAAUCUGAAGGUUUUUACAUGACUAGCUG
rnacentral:rRNA from 1 species